GUUUGGUUACAAGUUUCUCCGUGAACAUAUGCAUCCAUCGUAAGGCGGAGAAGUUGGCUUUGAAAUGAAACAAGAGUUGCAAAAUCUGAUAUUUGGAAAUUAGUUAAAUAGACAACCAAAGAUCAUAUGAAACAUUAAGAGCUCAAACUGCUUCGUCCUCCUCUCUCUCUCCAACGAGAAAUUAUUUUAUUCAACGGGUUGUAUUCUAAAAUUUUCAUCAUAUUAGUUUAUUUCCAUGUUCUAUUCU
rnacentral:misc_RNA from 1 species